rnacentral:rRNA from 1 species
UACGUAGGGGGCAAGCGUUGUCCGGAUUUACUGGGCGUAAAGGGCGCGUAGGCGGCAAUUCAAGUCAUCUGUGAAAUCUCCGGGCUUAACUCGGAACGGUCAGAUGAUACUGCUUUGCUCGAGUGCGGAAGGGGCAAUCGGAAUUCUUGGUGUAGCGGUGAAAUGCGUAGAUAUCAAGAGGAACACCUGAGGUGAAGACGGGUUGCUGGGCCGACACUGACGCUGAAGCGCGAAAGCCAGGGGAGCAAAUGGG